AGACCUGUGGCGCAAUGGUAGCGCGUCUGAUUCCAGGCAUUGGAAUGCUGCUUCCAGAAGGUUAUCCGUUCAAAUCGGGUCAGGUUCA